AUAAAAUGCUAUAACAGCAAAUAUCGUCUCCAACAUAUGUCUUAACCACAGGAUAAAGGUGAUACAGCAAUGUUAAUGAGAACCUACACAGCCUAUCCCCUUAUGUUUCAUGGGGAUACAGACCAAUAAAAUAGAGGGUUGACACUUUCAUGUACAUGCACAGAAUGCAGGUAUAGACAGAAUCACAUUCUAAAAAAGGGGGCUCAGAGCAGACAAUUUGAGCUUCCUAUGGGAAACCUCCAGCAGGAACCCCUCCUGUAUCAAUCCAUAAGAAGGCCAUCAGACUCUAACACCAUCUAAGAGGAUGUGAGUAUGUCUGUAGUUAUAACUGGUACAUGGAUAUAUUUAGGAAUUGUAUAUGCUAUGACAUUUAUAACUUUGUUGGUAACUUUUUAAUAAAACUACUAAAAGAUAUGUUUUGGAGUAGCAGCCGUGUUAGUCUGUAUUCGCAAAAAGA